UACGUAGGGGGCAAGCGUUGUCCGGAAUCAUUGGGCGUAAAGCGCGUGUAGGCGGCUCGAUAAGUCUGCUGUGAAAGUCCAGGCUCAACCCUGGGAUGCCGGUGGAUACUGUCGAGCUCGAGUCCGGAAGAGGCGAGUGGAAUUCCUGGUGUAGCAGUGAAAUGCGCAGAUAUCAGGAGGAACACCAAUGGCGAAGGCAGCUCGCUGGGACGUGACUGACGCUGAGACGCGAAAGCGUGGGGAGCAAACAGG
rnacentral:rRNA from 1 species